GAUGAACGCUGGCGGCGUGCCUAAUACAUGCAAGUCGAGCGAACAGACGAGGAGCUUGCUCCUCUGACGUUAGCGGCGGACGGGUGAGUAACACGUGGAUAACCUACCUAUAAGACUGGGAUAACUUCGGGAAACCGGAGCUAAUACCGGAUAAUAUAUUGCACCGCAUGGUUCAAUAGUGAAAGACGGUUUUGCUGUCACUUAUAGAUGGAUCCGCGCCGCAUUAGCUAGUUGGUAAGGUAACGGCUUACCAAGGCAACGAUGCGUAGCCGACCUGAGAGGGUGAUCGGCCACACUGGAACUGAGAAACGGUCCAGACUCCUACGGGAGGCAGCAGUAGGGAAUCUUCCGCGAUGGGCGAAAGCCUGACGGAGCAAAGCCGCGUGAGUGAUGAAGGUCUUCGGAUCGUAAAACUCUGUUAUUAGGGAAGAACAAAUGUGUAAGUAACUAUGCACGUCUUGACGGUACCUAAUCAGAAAGCCACGGCUAACUACGUG
rnacentral:rRNA from 1 species